GCACUGUUGCGGUGCGGUUUUGGG
rnacentral:siRNA from 1 species